UACGUAGGGGGCAAGCGUUGUCCGGAAUCAUUGGGCGUAAAGAGCGUGUAGGCGGCCCGAUAAGUCCGCUGUGAAAGUCCAGGCUCAACCCUGGAAUGCCGGUGGAUACUGUCGGGCUCGAAUCCGGAAGAGGUGAGUGGAAUUCCUGGUGUGAGCGGUGAAAUGCGCAGAUAUCAGGAGGAACACCAAUGGCGAAGGCAGCUCACUGGGACGGUAUUGACGCUGAGACGCGAAAGCGUGGGGAGCAAACAGG
rnacentral:rRNA from 1 species